GAACGGGUGCGUAACACGGUGGACAAUCUUGCCUUAAAGUGGGGGAUAGCUCGGGAAAGCCGAAUUAAUACCGCAUGUGAUGAGGGAAGACAUCUUUCCGACUUCAAAGCCGGGGCAACCUGGCGCUUUUUGAGGAGUCCGGGCUAUCAGCUUGUUGGUGAGGUAACGGUCACCCAAGGUAUGAAGGGUAGCUGGUCUGAGAGACGACCAGUCACACUGAACUGAGACACGGUCCAGACACCUACGGGUGGCAGCAGUCGAGAAUUUUUCUCAAUGGGGGCAACCCUGAAGGAGCGACGCCGCGUGGAGGAUGAAGGUCUUCGGGUUGUAAACUCCUGUCAUUUGAGAACAAGGCCCCGAAACUAACUACUUCGGGGUUGAUAGUAUCAGAAGAGGAAGGGACGGUAACUCUGUGCCAGCAGCCGCGGUAAUACAGAGGUCCCAAGCGGUUGUUCG
rnacentral:rRNA from 1 species